GAAAACUAAGAGACUUCAGCACUUCAAAUUGGUUUUGAUUGAUAAGUACGUACUCAAACACUUCCCAAUGAUUGUGCACAGCACGAUAAGUAGUUCGAUCUAACACGUCACACGUGUAUACAGGAAAUUAGACCCAACCUUCCAUUUUUGACAUUGUGUGCUAGUUGCUGGAUAUUGUGUAUAUUCUGUUGUAAUUUGUUAUUGGUAGAGACAUGGCUAUUGAAGUCCAAUUAUCUAUAAUAGUGACCUACAGUUGAAUAGCCACUGCUUGGAUAUAUAACCGUGAAUAUUGAGUCAUGGCAUGACCAUAACUUUUUGAGUACAGAACUUAAUAUUUUUGUAUUUUCACUGAUGCGUCAUUCAUGUAUCUCCUACUGAAGGCACUGCUUCAAACUUCAGAACAUUGAAUUAACGGUGUGGUUGUUUGAUCGGGUAGAUGUUGGAAAGGUGGUGAUUGAGAAGGAAGUGAAAAUAGGAAGUUUCUCUUUUAAUUUUUCGCUUUAUCAGAUAAAGUCUGAAGUGGGAUUAUUAGAAGCAAGUUUGUAACUAUUUUGCCCCAAGCAUUUAUUCACGCGAGACACACUCCAAUUCGUGCAACUGCUUUGUUCUCAUGUCAAAAAAAGUUUGAAUCUUCUCUGUCUAAAUCUCCUUAAAUUUCUCUCCAUUUCUUUUAAUUAUAUAUAUAUAUAUAUAUAUAUAUGUAUUUAUAUAUUUAAAGUAUUAUAUUAAAAAUUUAUAUCACAUAGAUUGUAAAAUUUAAAACAAAUUUAAAUUAUUUGAUAUAUAUCGAUACUGAAAGAAAUUCAUGGUGUUUAACCAUAGUGAAUAAAAUAUUAAUUUUGAUGUAUUUUAAUAAUAUAUUAAAUAAUUUUAAAUUUGUGUAAGAAUUUAAUUUUAUAUGUAUGAUUUAUAUAAUCUGUAUAUUGUUAUUUUAGCUGCAACUUUGUUUGUUGAGACAUCAAUUGCUACAUACAUGAUUUACACUAAUCAUCAAUAUGUCUUGUGUAGGUAACAGCUCCUGGAGGGAGAACUAGAGAUAGAAAGAGCGACUUGCUUGUUAUAGCUGAUAAGGGGAACUCCUUCAAAAUAAUACAUGCGGUGAUUAUUUAUUUCCUGAAUCAUUUGUUAUUUAUCUUUACAUUACACAUCCCUUAUAUGCCAUUUUAUAUGCAGAGUGAAAAAGAUGAUCCAACAACUGUGAUAGAAAGACGGGAGUGGGCCCAAUCCAGAGAAGAAAUGGAGAGGCAUCUUAGAAAACUAAGAGACUUCAGCACUUCAAAUUGGUUUUGAUUGAUAAGUACGUACUCAAACACUUCCCAAUGAUUGUGCACAGCACGAUAAGUAGUUCGAUCUAACACGUCACACGUGUAUACAGGAAAUUAGACCCAACCUUCCAUUUUUGACAUUGUGUGCUAGUUGCUGGAUAUUGUGUAUAUUCUGUUGUAAUUUGUUAUUGGUAGAGACAUGGCUAUUGAAGUCCAAUUAUCUAUAAUAGUGACCUACAGUUGAAUAGCCACUGCUUGGAUAUAUAACCGUGAAUAUUGAGUCAUGGCAUGACCAUAACUUUUUGAGUACAGAACUUAAUAUUUUUGUAUUUUCACUGAUGCGUCAUUCAUGUAUCUCCUACUGAAGGCACUGCUUCAAACUUCAGAACAUUGAAUUAACGGUGUGGUUGUUUGAUCGGGUAGAUGUUGGAAAGGUGGUGAUUGAGAAGGAAGUGAAAAUAGGAAGUUUCUCUUUUAAUUUUUCGCUUUAUCAGAUAAAGUCUGAAGUGGGAUUAUUAGAAGCAAGUUUGUAACUAUUUUGCCCCAAGCAUUUAUUCACGCGAGACACACUCCAAUUCGUGCAACUGCUUUGUUCUCAUGUCAAAAAAAGUUUGAAUCUUCUCUGUCUAAAUCUCCUUAAAUUUCUC
rnacentral:lncRNA from 1 species